GAUGAUGUGUCAUUUAUAUGGAGA
rnacentral:siRNA from 1 species